UUGCGCAAUUGAAACGUCGAAACCUUUUUUUUAAACCCAUUUGAUUGAAAACUGAAGUAUACUGUGGGGACGAAAGUCCUCGCUUUGAAACUAGAUAACAACUUUCAGCAGUGGAUGUCUAGGCUCGCACAUCGAUGAAGAACGCUGCGAACUGCGAUACGUAAUGCGAAUUGCAGGAUUCAGUGAGUCAUCGAACUUUUGAACGCAUAUUGCACUUUCGGGUUACGCCUGGAAGUAUGUCUGUAUCAGUGUCCGUACACUAAACUUGCGUCUCUUCCGUCGUGUAGUCGUCGGUUGUUUUGAUUGCAGAUGUGAGGUUGUCUCGCAGUCGACCACUUCUUUUGGAUGGAUAGGUUGCGAGUCCCUUUAAAAGUCGGACGCGUGUUUUUUCCGUUUUGUGCUUGAUGGGGGUGCGGCUGCGGCCGUGUCUGCUGGCGGGUCCGGUGACCUUUGGCGAUGGCAUGAGAGUGGAUUGCUCGAUUUGCGGUAUGUUAGGCUUCGGCUUUGACAAUGCAGCUUAUUGGGUGUGUUCGCUUGGCUGUUGCUGUAUGGGGUGAGCUGGAUGGUCGGUGGAUGCGUUUGUUGCGUGUCGUUUUUUCAUGGAGUGCGUUGCGG
rnacentral:misc_RNA from 1 species